GAUGAACGCUGACAGAAUGCUUAACACAUGCAAGUCUUUGGCGAAGCUGUGCUUGCACAGCCUAGCCAAGGCGGACGGGUGAGUAACGCGUAAGGAACUUGCCCGGCAGUCAGGGAUAACAGACGGAAACGACUGAUAAGACCUGGUAAAGUCAGGCGGACUCAUGUCCAGCCUGAUGAAAAGAGAUGCUGCAGGAGAGCCUUGCGUCCUAUUAGCUUGUUGGUGGGGUAACGGCCCACCAAGGCGAUGAUAGGUAGCCGGCCUGAGAGGGUGGACGGCCACAAGGGGACUGAGAUACGGCCCGUACUCCUACGGGAGGCAGCAGUGGGGAAUAUUGGACAAUGGGGGCAACCCUGAUCCAGCAAUUCUGUGUGCACGAUGAAGGUUUUCGGAUUGUAAAGUGCUUUCAGCAGGGAAGAAAAAAUGACGGUACCUGCAGAAGAAGCGACGGCUAAAUACGUG
rnacentral:rRNA from 1 species